rnacentral:rRNA from 1 species
GGGUCCGGACACACUGAGGAUUGACAGAUAUACGUCGUGCGUUGAGCUCUCUCGGGGGCCGAGCGCAUGACUGAAAGAUGCUAGUUCUUUCAUGAUUAUGUGAUAGGUGGUGCAUGGCCGUUCUUAGUUCGUGGAGUGAUCUGUCUGCUUAAUUGCGUAUCAUUAAAGAGACCUAGUAUACGCGUAAGAUAUCGUUUACGGUUCGUGACCCCCUUCGGGCGUGUGUCGCACGUACGUAUCAUACGCACUGGUCUCCGAUAGCAACGAACGUGACCGUACUCUAUUGUUGCAGCGAAUGUACGCACCUCGGUGUAUCUACCGCUGCUUAGUGCGUAUGCGUACUUCGGUGCGUGUCGCACAUUAAACUAUAGAGACCGCUGUCUUUUCUUUAAACCAGAGGAAGGAUACGGCAAUAACAGGUCUGUGAUGCCCUCAGAUGUUCCGGGCUGCACACGUGCUACAAUGAUCAUUGCACUGUGGGUCUAACCCAAUGUGCGUGGACGCCACGGUGUUUUGCGUUUCGGCGUAUAUUCAUCAGUUGGUCGACCACGCCGAACCUACUUCGAAAGUAAAAUUUUUAAGUGGGU